AGGGUUUGAUCAUGGCUCAGAUUGAACGCUGGCGGCAGGCCUAACACAUGCAAGUCGAGCGGUAACAGAACUAGCUUGCUAGUUGCUGACGAGCGGCGGACGGGUGCGUAACACGUAGGAAUCUACCCAGUAGCGGGGGAUAGCCCGGAGAAAUCCGGAUUAAUACCGCAUACGCCCUACGGGGGAAAGCAGGGGAUCUUCGGACCUUGCACUAUUGGAUGAGCCUGCGUCGGAUUAGCUAGUUGGUGGGGUAAAGGCCUACCAAGGCAACGAUCCGUAGCUGGUCUGAGAGGAUGAUCAGCCACACUGGGACUGAGACACGGCCCAGACUCCUACGGGAGGCAGCAGUGGGGAAUAUUGCACAAUGGGCGCAAGCCUGAUGCAGCCAUGCCGCGUGUGUGAAGAAGGCUCUAGGGUUGUAAAGCACUUUCAGCGAGGAGGAAAGGUGUGUAGCUAAUAACUGCAUGCUGUGACGUUACUCGCAGAAGAAGCACCGGCUAACUCCGUGCCAGCAGCCGCGGUAAUACGGAGGGUGCAAGCGUUAAUCGGAAUUACUGGGCGUAAAGCGUGCGUAGGCGGCUGCCUAAGUUGGAUGUGAAAGCCCCGGGCUCAACCUGGGAACUGCAUCCAAAACUGGGCAGCUAGAGUGCGGAAGAGGAGUGUGGAAUUUCCUGUGUAGCGGUGAAAUGCGUAGAUAUAGGAAGGAACACCAGUGGCGAAGGCGACACUCUGGUCUGA
rnacentral:rRNA from 1 species